rnacentral:rRNA from 1 species
GAUGAACGCUGGCGGCGUGCCUAAUACAUGCAAGUCGAGCGAACAGACGAGGAGCUUGCUCCUCUGACGUUAGCGGCGGACGGGUGAGUAACACGUGGAUAACCUACCUAUAAGACUGGGAUAACUUCGGGAAACCGGAGCUAAUACCGGAUAAUCUAUUGAACCGCAUGGUGCGAUAGUGAAAGACGGUUUUGCUGUCUCUUAUAGAUGGAUCCGCGCCGCAUUAGCUAGUUGGUAAGGUAACGGCUUACCAAGGCAACGAUGCGUAACCGACCUGAGAGGGUGAUCGGCCACACUGGAACUGAGACACGGUCCAGACUCCUACGGGAGGCAGCAGUAGGGAAUCUUCCGCAGUGGGGGAAAGCCUGACGGAGCAACGCCGCGUGAGUGAUGAAGGUCUUCGGAUCGUAAAACUCUGUUAUUGGGGAAGAACAAAUGUGUAAGUAACUAUGCACGUCUUGACGGUACCGAAUCAGAAAGCCACGGCUAACUACGUG